rnacentral:rRNA from 1 species
ACACGACUACAUUAGAUACCCCUGUAGUCCCAGCCCUAAACGAUGCGCGUUAGGUGUAUCGGUGACCACGAGUCACCGAGGUGCCGAAGGGAAACCGUGAAGCGAGCCACCUGGGAAGUACGGCCGCAAGGCUGAAACUUAAAGGAAUUGGCGGGGGAGCACAACAACGGGUGGAGCUUGCGGUUUAAUUGGAUUCAACGCCGGAAAUCUUACCGGGACCGACAGCAACAUGAAGGCCAGGCUGAAGACUUUGCCGGAUUAGCUG